UUAUUGGUUCUUACUGUAGAAAACUACAUAAGAUGAAAAGGGAAUCCGAUGAAAAUUCGGAACUGUACCCGCAGCUGUAAGCUCUGUAAACCAAAGAUCACAACACAGCCACUUUCAAGAGAAGGGAAGGCGAUCGGAGGGGAGUAAGUCAGAAGACCUGCCAGUGAGAAAA
rnacentral:ncRNA from 1 species